ensembl:lncRNA uncharacterized LOC111928316
CUCUAAAUGACCUUAUCUACACCAGGGAAGUAGUUACUGCAUUUUCCCUUGGUUAAUCCCUUCAUCAUGGUAACUCCAACAGGAGUGCUGGAAGCACAAAGAGCUGAUGGAGUUCAGGGGUAGGGGGAACACUCAGACUGUUCAAUAUAGGAGACAGAGAUGCAAAAAAAAAUAAAUCUUUAAAUCAUUUGGACUCUCUUUCACUAGACUACUCUGACCUCGACUGGAAAAGUACCUACAAGCAAGAUUUUGAGCACUGGAAAGGAGUCCGUGGUGCGCUCUACACAGAGGAGAUAAGGCCUUCUCCCGUUUUCCCUGAAGAUAACCGCUUCAAUGAGAGCCGCUGGGUUUCUGAGUAUGCAGACAGCUACAGCAUCUUCCUGAAGAGGCUGGACUGGUCAUCUCCCAUCUCUGCACAAUGGCUGCCCUUUGGGAAGGAUGCACGAUGGACACCGCGAUGGAGAGAGUCCAGUCACUGAGUGGUGCUAGGGUGGCUGUGCUCUUUGGCGCUCCAAGCUGUGUGAUAUUGUUCAUCAGAGACCCUGAAAGCCUUGGAAACCUCAUCUCUACCAAACCUACCACCAUGUCUAUCAGAUGUGAAAAGUUUGCCAAAGACCUCCUUAAGUACAAAUUAUGAUUAAAAUCUCCCAAGAACCUCAGCUUUUAUCAUUGUCAGAAAAAGGUUUUUUUUGCAGGGGGACAAUGAAGGCUACAGAGCUAAAACCACUCAGGCAGUUUCAAUUUAUGUACUUUAAAGACAACUUGGUGAUAAAACUUUGCCUCUCAGUGAGAAGUAGUGUGUGUUAAACAGCAUGGUUGGUGUUAAUUUACUCUCUAAAACCUUGUGCACUUACAGGGAGGGAAAUAUCCAUGUUGUCCAGGGUAGCUGAGUGUCAGUCUUGCAGAGCUCCUUCCCCUCCUUUACGUUUAACAACUUAUUCCAGGUUUUGACCAUCAAUUUCAGCUAAUGCUGGCUAAACGGGAAUUGAGUUUGCCGUGUCCGUUUGGGAUUUGUAGGUUUCUGGAAGGAUCAAGGCUGCUCCCAGCCUGAAGAUGGCAAUGGAGAGCCACCGAUCCCAGACCUGCAAAGGGCUGACAGCCGUCUGCUGUGGCUUUAGUGAUCUGACUGGAUCUUCUAAAUUGAUGCUAAAAUUAUCCCAGAGUAGGUGGUGUAGAGAAACCUCUCCCCAACACCUAAAAGGUAUUCCUUUUAAAGGACAUCCUUGCAGUAUUGAGGGAUAGGCAAGACCUUUUUAACAAAUACAGCUAAAGUGUCAAAAAUAAUGAGAAAAGGAACUUAUUUUACAGUAAUAUCAACUAUCCCCAGACCUGCUGGUGGCAGGACCUAUGUAGACACAGCAGCACCUGCCCCAAGGAGUUCAUCAUCUGAAUUCUGUGGGAUUUAGCAAAAUGAUGUCUGGCAGGGCCAAGCUCCAAGCAGAUGAUACGGGGAAGUAGAAUGGGCCACAAUUUCUGCAAAUCUGCUCUGGUGUGGGGCAUUGCUGAUCACAGCUCAUGCAGCAUUUGGGAUUUCCACUGUAGCUAAGUGUAGCUGACUUGUGGCAAUUUUAGAGGACAGAAAUAUUUAAGUUAAAAAAUAGGGAAAAAUACUUGCUUACCUCAGAGAGGAGACAGAG